GGCUGGUCCAAUGCUAAUGGAUUAUCAGAACUUAUUAACAUUAGUGUCACUAAAGUUGGCAUAUAACCCACACACACUGCUAAAUUUGACCAACUUGAG
rnacentral:Y_RNA from 1 species